ACUCCUACGGGAGGCAGCAGUAGGGAAGUCUUCCUACAAUGGGCGCAAGCCUGAUGGAGCAACACCGCGUGAGUGAAGAAGGGUUUCGGUCUCGUAAAGCUCUGUUGUUAAAGAAGAACACGUAUGAGAGUAACUGUUCAUACGUUGACGGUAUUUAACCAGAAAGUCACGGCUAACUACGUGCCAGCAGCCGCGGUAAUACGUAGGUGGCAAGCGUUAUCCGGAUUUAUUGGGCGUAAAGAGAGUGCAGGCGGUUUUCUAAGUCUGAUGUGAAAGCCUUCGGCUUAACCGGAGAAGUGCAUCGGAAACUGGAUAACUUGAGUGCAGAAGAGGGUAGUGGAACUCCAUGUGUAGCGGUGGAAUGCGUAGAUAUAUGGAAGAACACCAGUGGCGAAGGCGGCUACCUGGUCUGCAACUGACGCUGAGACUCGAAAGCAUGGGGUAGCGAACAGGAUUAGAUACCCUGGUAGGAUA
rnacentral:rRNA from 1 species